UGGAAGGUUAAGUGGGCGAAUAACUUGCUAAUCCAGUCAGAUCUGAGAAGAAGCAGCUGUACCAAGCUUAUUCGGGUCACUUAUACCUUCCAUAA
rnacentral:SRP_RNA from 2 species